rnacentral:tRNA from 1 species
AGGUGGCAAAAAAGGCAAUCCAACCGACACUUCGGCAAAUUUCUUUCACUCUAGUCAGAGCUAAGUUCUUAU